rnacentral:misc_RNA from 1 species
GAUCUUUGCCCUUUGACGGAGUUCUCUUCCUCCCCAUUAGGAGCCCAAGAGCUUCUCUGCUCAAGGUAUGGGUUUUUGAAUUUUAAUUUAAGUAGUGGUCUGAGGUCACUGGAGACAUUGGGGGCCAACUUCGAUUGUGAAGUCUCAUGGAUCUCACUUUGUAAAUUUCCAGAUGUAAAUUUAAGUUGUUUCUUUAGUAGAGGCUCCUCAUUUCUUU